rnacentral:tRNA from 2 species
GGCCCCAUCGUCUAGCGGUUAGGACGCCGCCCUCUCACGGCGGUAGCAGGGGUUCGAGUCCCCUUGGGGCUACCA